CGCAAUUCGGAGGCUGAAUGUUCGAUUGGGGCUUAUAACCUGAAGGCCGCAGGUUCAAAUCCUGCCCCCGCAACCA
rnacentral:tRNA from 1 species